rnacentral:rRNA from 1 species
UACGUAGGGUGCGAGCGUUGUCCGGAUUUAUUGGGCGUAAAGAGCUCGUAGGCGGUUUGUCGCGUCGGCCGUGAAAUCUCCACGCUUAACGUGGAGCGUGCGGUCGAUACGGGCAGACUUGAGUUCGGUAGGGGAGACUGGAAUUCCUGGUGUAGCGGUGAAAUGCGCAGAUAUCAGGAAGAACACCAAUGGCGAAAGCAGCUCUCUGGGACGGUACUGACGCUGAGACGCGAAAGCGUGGGGAGCGAACAGG